AGAGUAUGGGAGGGGGAGAUGGAAUUAGUGGUGUAGGGGUAAAAUCCGUAGAUAUCACUAGGAAUACCGAAAGCGAAGGCGAUCUCCUGGAACAUAACUGACGCUAAGGCGUGAAAGCGUGGGGAGCAAACAGGAUUAGAUACCCUGGUAGUCCACGCCCUAAACGAUGAACACUAGUCGUCGGGAUGCUAGUCAUCUCGGUGAUGCACUUAACAGAUUAAGUGUUCCGCCUGGGGAGUACGGUCGCAAGAUUAAAACUCAAAGGAAUAGACGGGGACCCGCACAAGUGGUGGAGCAUGUGGUUUAAUUCGAAGAUACGCGAAGAACCUUACCUAGCCUUGACAUUGAUUGAACACACUAGAGAUAGAGUGGUGCCCUUCGGGGAACAUGAAAACAGGUGCUGCACGGCUGUCGUCAGCUCGUGUCGUGAGAUGUUGGGUUAAGUCCCGCAACGAGCGCAACCCUCGUCCUUAGUUGCUAGCAGUUCGGCUGAGCACUCUAAGGAGACUGCCUUCGUAAGGAGGAGGAAGGUGAGGACGACGUCAAGUCAUCAUGGCCCUUAUGGCUAGGGCUACACACGUGCUACAAUGGGGCGUACAGAGUGUUGCGAUACCGCGAGGUGGAGCUAAUCACUUAAAGCGUCUCUCAGUUCGGAUUGGAGUCUGCAACUCGACUCCAUGAAGCUGGAAUCACUAGUAAUCGUAGAUCAGCAAUGCUACGGUGAAUACGU
rnacentral:rRNA from 1 species